CUUAUAGUAGGCCUACUAGCUGAAAUUCGAAUCAAGAACAUAUCUGAGCAAUAAUACUGUUUGCCGUAUCAUGCUGGCCAACGUACUCAUUCCCUUACUAGGUUAAGUUAUAUCGGCCUGCUUGGGGCCCAGUUCAAUCCAAUUCAUUAGGACACUUAGCUGUUCGGAUAGAGGACAGGAAGGACAGCGAGUUGGAAAAUUUGUUUGACUGUGUUGAGCUUUGCAUCAAAUGAAGCUCCUCUUGAUAAUGACGGUAAUACAAAUACCAUCAUUGUAUUUGUCAGUAACAGAUUAAUAUGACCAUUGCAUUGAGUUGAUUUGAUCAUUUUAAUGGUGAACUGGAGAUUAUGAGGUUAUAACAGAUCAUGUGUUGUCUUGUGUUGCUUCCUCACAAUGAAAGGAAAAUAUGUAGUGUC